GACGAACGCUGGCGGCGUGCCUAACACAUGCAAGUCGAGCGGGGUUGAAGCGAGAGGUAACUCGAACUUCUACCUAGCGGCGGACGGGUGAGUAACGCGUGGGCAACCUGCCUCAAGGUCUGGGAUAACAGCCCGAAAGGGCUGCUAAUACCGGGUAUGCUUGUGGCCUCGCAUGGGGCUAUGAGCAAAGGGGAAACCCGCCUUGAGAUGGGCCCGCGUCCCAUCAGCUAGUUGGUGAGGUAACAGCUCACCAAGGCGACGACGGGUAGCCGGCCUGAGAGGGUGACCGGCCACACUGGGACUGAGACACGGCCCAGACUCCUACGGGGGGCAGCAGUGGGGGAUCUUGCACAAUGGGCGAAAGCCUGAUGCAGCGACGCCGCGUGAGCGAAGAAGGCCUUCGGGUCGUAAAGCUCUGUCUAGGGGGAAGAGUAAGGACGGUACCUCUGGAGGAAGCCACGGCUAACUACGUG
rnacentral:rRNA from 1 species